GGGAAACCUGCUUAGCUGCAGCAUUCAUUGUGGCCAGGAGAGUCUCCAGAAGCAAUAAGACUACAUGGAAGGGAGAGAGGCCAGGGCUCCUUCUGGGGUGGCUCCUUAGGGUCAAAGAGCGACCCCUUGGAGGCCAUCAGAGUUUUCUUGGGGCCAGUGCUGUUAAGACCCCACUAAGGGCUGGCGGGCUCCUGCCUGGCGCGGUUCAGCACCAUGCCCUUCCUGUACUGCAACCCUGGUGAUGUCUGCUACUAUGCCAGCCGGAACGACAAGUCCUACUGGCUCUCUACCACUGCCCCGCUGCCCAUGAUGCCUGUGGCCGAGGACGAGAUCAAGCCCUACAUCAGCCGCUGCUCUGUGUGUGAGGCCCCAGCCGUCGCCAUCGCGGUCCACAGUCAGGAUGUCUCCAUUCCACACUGCCCAGCUGGGUGGCGGAGUUUGUGGAUCGGAUAUUCCUUCCUCAUGCACACGGCGGCGGGAGACGAAGGCGGUGGCCAGUCACUGGUGUCACCAGGCAGCUGUCUGGAGGACUUCCGUGCCACACCAUUCAUCGAGUGCAAUGGAGGCCGCGGCACCUGCCACUACUACGCCAACAAGUACAGCUUCUGGCUGACCACCAUUCCCGAGCAGAGCUUCCAGGGCUCGCCCUCUGCCGACACGCUCAA
rnacentral:sRNA from 1 species